rnacentral:ncRNA from 2 species
AAUCGUUCCGAGGGGGGCCCUAACCGGGCUGAGAGUGGGCACCACGCCCUGACCCUUGAACCUGAUCCGGUUCGUACCGGCGGAGGGACGGGAACCUGUGGCCGG